AAAUCCCAAAUCGAUCGAUCCCCCACCCCUCAAAUCCCUAGCUCUCUCCUGUCUCCUUCUCUCCCCCACCCCUCAAAUCACAAGCUCAAUCCGGCGCGGAAGGGAUGGAUAGGCUGAAGGAAGGGCAGGUUUUUUUUCCCGGAAGAGAUGUGGAGGCGCGGCGACCCGGAGCUCCGGCUAGAGCAUGGGCGGUGCUUGCUGACGCGCACGCGCGACAUGUACGCUCUGGAGGGGAAGCUGCGAGGCCAUGCCCUCUUCACGACGGUGCAAGGUGGUCGGCUGCCGGUGUCUCCGGCAAUGCUGUUGGCGGCGCUGGAAUCGCAGUGCAGUGUCCGUUCUGGUGAUGUCAAGGUUGAGGUAACCUCGCCGCCGGCUGAUUUCUUUGUCCGAUUCCGCCGCAACGAAGACUGCACUCGCGUGGUUGUCAAUUACUCCCAUGUGCUUGAAGUUGGUGGCGAGACGAUCCAGUUUAGGCGUUGGCAUCGCGGCUCGUUUUGCGAGCAGUCCUCGCUGCCAUUUUUUACGAAGCUGAGCUUCGAUGGCCUCCCCCAAGAGGCAUGGGACAGAGCAUUUUUGGGGAUGCUUGUGAACCAGCUAGGCGGCGAGCUCAUAAAGUGUUUGAAGCCUGAUGAUCGCUGGUGCAUUAGUGUGGAAGCAUGGAUGAAGGAUCCUAACAAAGUGCCUAAGCGCUACGACGUCGAGCUGUCGGAGCCGGAUGAGCCAAUGUUCUGUUUCUGUCCGGAAUCCGACGAUGAAAUAUCGCCACCCACACCAAGAGAGCGUACUGAGAAGCGGACUGUAGUCCAUUCAAUUAUCAUCCAUGUUGAUUGGGUUGUUGAUAACAGUCCAAUCAUACCAGAGUUUCCGGCAUUGCGCGACUACCACGACGAGGACACUACUCGGCUUCACACAUAUGCCACCUGUAAUGGUACAGUUGAUGGCACUACUCCGCCAGUUGAUCAAGAUGGUGGCCGUGGGUUCGCUGGGCCAAGCUCCCAGGCGCGUGCAGGAGCAUUGUUCUACUAGUUUCAUGUGUUGUGCUGAUCAAUGAUGUACUCGUCACUUGUGUACCAGUAUGAACUGUUUGUUGUGCUAAAUUAUGAUGUACUAGAUAUGUUUGUAUUGAAUUGAAAUGCAAUCUGCAUAUGAGAUAUUAUGUGAUUUUAAC
rnacentral:rRNA from 1 species